AUGGUAUUCAAAAAGGUGCAGUACCUUCGUGUUUUGAGGUUGGCCAGCCUAAUUUGCAGCAUAGACUCUCUGAUGUGCAACUUCAGCAAGUUGAUCCAUCUUCGCUACCUCGAGCUGGUAUCCAGUGUUCCAGGCCAUCCAAAUGCACAUGACUUGACCAGCCAGGACGCUGCACCCACGACGUCCAUAGGUGUAGGGCGGUGGCCACAACGAUGGACGAGAGAGUUCCAUGGAUGUAGAGAUCUAUGGUGGACGAGCAAGGAGAUGGGGCCUGCUCCCAGCCAGAGCUACAGUCAGUCAAGCGACACAUUCAGAUUCGCAGAGAAGCAAGCAACAAGCACUGGUCCCAUGCAGAGGGCCCUGGCGCUUCGCCAGCCACCUCCGCCGAGGUCGAUAGUCCUGGACGCUGCGGAAGCAAAGGCGGUGAAGGAGAGCCUCUCCUCGUUGAUGCAAGCUCUGGCGCACGGGCUCAGGGCUCGCCGCAGCCCCCUGAGCGUCCACAACCACGGCGAGGAGGAACCCGCGGUGUCUCCAAAGGAAAUCGUGGCCAUGGAGGAGGUUCACACAGGGGUGACAUCAACCAAGCACAAGUCAUUGUGCCAUUUCCUCCCAUGGAACGGUUGUCCACUCCACCCAUGUUAG
rnacentral:rRNA from 1 species